rnacentral:rRNA from 1 species
UCGAGCGGACCGACGGGAGCUUGCUCCCUUAGGUCAGCGGCGGACGGGUGAGUAACACGUGGGUAACCUGCCUGUAAGACUGGGAUAACUCCGGGAAACCGGGGCUAAUACCGGAUGCUUGAUUGAACCGCAUGGUUCAAUCAUAAAAGGUGGCUUUUAGCUACCACUUACAGAUGGACCCGCGGCGCAAUAGCUAGUUGGUGAGGUAACGGCUCACCAAGGCGACGAUGCGUAGCCCACCUGAGAGGGUGAUCGGCCACACUGGGACUGAGACACGGCCCAGACUCCUACGGGAGGCAGCAGUAGGGAAUCUUCCGCAAUGGACGAAAGUCUGACGGAGCAACGCCCCGUGAGUGAUGAAGGUUUUCGGAUCGUAAAACUCUGUUGUUAGGGAAGAACAAGUACCGUUCGAAUAGGGCGGUACCUUGACGGUACCUAACCAGAAAGCCACGGCUAACUACGUGCCA